rnacentral:rRNA from 1 species
GAUGAACGCUGGCGGCGUGCCUAAUACAUGCAAGUCGAGCGAACAGACGAGGUUCUUGCUCCUCUGACGUUAGAGGCGGACGGGUGAGUAACAUGUGCUUAACCUACCUAUAAGACUAGUAUAACUUCGGGAAACCGGUGCUAAUACCGGAUAAUAUAUUGAACCGCAUGGUUCAAUAGUGAAAGACGGUUUUGCUGUCCCUUCUAGAUGGAUCCGCGCCGCAUUAGUUAGUUGGUACGGUAACGGCUUACCAAGGCAACGAUGCGUAGCCGACCUGCGAGGGUGAUCGGCCACACUGGAACUGAGCCGCGGUCCAGACUCCUACGGGAGGCAGCAGUAGCGAAGCGUCCGCAAUGGGCGGAAGCUUGACGGAGCAGCGGCGCGUGAGUGAUGAAGGUCUUCGGAUCGUAAAACUCUGUUAUGAGUGAAGAACGAAUGUGUAAGUAACUAUGCACGUCGUGACGGUACCUGCUCAGGAAGCAACGGCUAACUACGUG